rnacentral:rRNA from 1 species
UUAAAUUGAAGAGUUUGAUCAUGGCUCAGAUUGAACGCUGGCGGCAGGCCUAACACAUGCAAGUCGAGCGGAAACGAGUUAUCAGAACCUUCGGGGAACGAUAACGGCGUCGAGCGGCGGACGGGUGAGUAAUGCCUAGGAAAUUGCCCUGAUGUGGGGGAUAACCAUUGGAAACGAUGGCU